GACGAACGCUGGCGGCGUGCUUAACACAUGCAAGUCGAACGGUGAAGCGCCUUCCUUUUUGGUGGGUGUGGAUGAGUGGCGAACGGGUGAGUAACACGUGAGUAACCUGCCCCCUUCUUCUGGAUAACCGCAUGAAAGUGUGGCUAAUACGGGAUAUUCUGGGUCUGUCGCAUGAUGGGUCUGGGAAAGAUAUUGUUUCGGUGGGGGAUGGGCUCGCGGCCUAUCAGCUUGUUGGUGGGGUGAUGGCCUACCAAGGCGGUGACGGGUAGCCGGCCUGAGAGGGUGGACGGUCACACUGGGACUGAGACACGGCCCAGACUCCUACGGGAGGCAGCAGUGGGGAAUAUUGCACAAUGGGCGCAAGCCUGAUGCAGCGACGCCGCGUGAGGGAUGGAGGCCGUCGGGUUGGGAACCUCUUUCGCCAGUGAAGCAGGCCUGCCUCGUUUGUGGGUGGGUUGACGGUAGCUGGAUAAGAAGCGCCGGCUAACUACGU
rnacentral:rRNA from 1 species